GCAAUAAAAGUUUUCAUGCAGCGGUGAUUGGUAAAGUGGUAUAUAAGCCGAUACAUCUAUCUCCAUGCGCUUUAAAAAGAGGAAAUUUCAUUGUAGUAAUUGCACAUGAUUUAUGAGUUAAAAUGUAGUAAUUGCACAUGAUUUGUGCGUUUAAAUGUAGGUGGGCUAUGAGAGGGAAAUUAACACCUCAAAAACUUACGGCUUAUUUAAAUAAUGACCCACAUCCGUCAAAUCCGUGAUGUUUGGAUGAAGGACCGUUAUCUAUCAUAAAGCCUCCGGGCUUUCUCAUGUUUAAUGUGAAUCUUCCAAGAAUAAACAAAUUAAAUCGACUUGAAAUAAAAAAUAGUUCAAAAUAAACAUUUAUUAAUGAAAAAGACCCACAAAGUCAUGCAAGACUUAAAUAACUGAAAAUGUCGAUCACUUAAAUCACAC
rnacentral:lncRNA from 1 species